AGCGAACGCUGGCGGCAGGCUUAACACAUGCAAGUCGAACGCAUCCUUCGGGGUGAGUGGCAGACGGGUGAGUAACACGUGGGAACGUACCUUUUGGUUCGGAACAACUGAGGGAAACUUCAGCUAAUACCGGAUACGCCCUUAUGGGGAAAGAUUUAUCGCCGAAAGAUCGGCCCGCGUCUGAUUAGCUAGUUGGUGAGGUAAUGGCUCACCAAGGCGACGAUCAGUAGCUGGUCUGAGAGGAUGAUCAGCCACACUGGGACUGAGACACGGCCCAGACUCCUACGGGAGGCAGCAGUGGGGAAUAUUGGACAAUGGGGGCAACCCUGAUCCAGCCAUGCCGCGUGAGUGAUGAAGGCCUUAGGGUUGUAAAGCUCUUUUAUCCGGGACGAUAAUGACGGUACCGGAAGAAUAAGCCCCGGCUAACUUCGUGCCAGCCGCCGCCGUAACAC
rnacentral:rRNA from 1 species